CCUCGCAGCGAUGGAGCCGGCUUUCCCCUGUCCGUGGUUCUUGCUGCCUCCAAAAUGCCGCUGGAGAACCUGGAGGAGGACGGUCUGCCAAAGACCCGGAGCACCGCGGAGACCAAGGGACGCGAAGAGCUGAUGGCGGCCGUCCGCGACAACUACAUGACUCCUUAUUAUGAAGCCUUGUGCAAACCCUCCACUGGCAGAUGGACAUGGACCUCCUCAAUAAGAUGAAGAAGGCAAAUGAAGAAAAGCUGAAGCGUUUGGAUAAGGAGCUGGAGGAUGCAGAGAAGAAUCUGGAGGAGAGUGAGAUUCAGGAUGCAAUGAUGCAAAAGCUGAGUACCUGUGUCGGAUUGGCGACAAGCCAAUUCACAGGCAUGGACCAAAAUUCCAAGCAAAAUAUGCACUUUCAAGACAACUCAAAUGAUGCAGAAAAUAGAAGAGCAAAGAAGAUAACCACCAGCACUCCACCAGUGCUGAAGAGCUCUCCAAACAUCUUUUAUUCAUUCAGAAAAUGUGAUGACAAAGUACCAGACUGUGUUGCAGGGACCAGGAUUCCAGCAGUAGAACUAAGCCUGGUUUUGGAAGUCACAUUUAGAAGAACAGCUUCUUGGAAAUGGGCCUAGGUCCAGCCAUAGGAUGGAUCCACACUUGCACUUUUGAAGUUGUUUUGUCCAUUCCACUAGGCCCGUGGCAUCUGGCUGCAUCAGUAAAUAGGGACUGACCACAGAGGAGCCCAUCAUAUUAUGGGUCAGCUGCUCCCCCUCAGUCCUUAACUGGUAUCAGCUUGGACCCUUUCCAUGUCUCUGCUCUUAGGAACGUGGAUUGCAUGUGGAUGAUGUGAGGACCCACGUGCUUUCCAUACUUGUGUGAUUAUUUCUUAAUUCAAAGCCCUAGAAGAGCUGUUGCUCCAUGAAGGAGUGUGGACAAUUGACAUCUGGAUACAUUCUGUAGGGAUCAGAUCAUUUAUUUCUCCAUGACAUUCUGAAUACUGAACAGAAGCCCUGUGGGGGCAGAAGGAGUAAUAUCCUUCCCUUGGCUGCUGCCAGCUUCAUGACUGAGGUCGCCGGGCGAGGUGGUGCAUGCCUGAAAUGCCAGCAGCUCAGGGGGCUGAGGCAGGGGAUUGCAAGUUCAAAGGCAGCCUCAGCAACUUAGUGAGGCCCUAUGCACCUCAGUGAGACUGCUGUCUCACUGACGGCAGUGAGACUGCGGGUGUGGUUCAGUGGUUAAGCACCCCUGGUUUCUAUCUGUGGUACAAAAUCAAUCAAUCAAUAAGUAAAUAGAUUAACCGCCCAAAGCAUGCAGAUGUACUUAAUGUAAGUUCCAUGGGACGUGCGAGCCCUGGAAAUGAAGACCCAAAGAAACAGGCAGCCUGUUUGUUUUGGUGCUGACUUGGAUGAAGAGUGGUCUCUCCUGCAGAAGCUUCCUGGGACACAGGGGCCCUGAGCCUGUGGUAACAGACUGGGGUGAGCAGCAAGGCCCAGUUGAGAUUCUUCUCGGUUUCUGUUGAGAUGAGACAACACCUAUUGUCUCAGGAAUGGAAAGGGCACCUUUGGACAGACCUACUUUGGAGGAAGGAGAGAUUUGCUUAUGGGCUGAUUCAGGACAGAAUAUGGCAGUCAUAUUUCUUGUACUGUCCUCUGAAAGGACAAGGUAUGAGGCCUGUCUCCCCUCUGUCAAAAUGUGCUUUUUUAUAUUGUUUUUCAUUUUCUGUUUGUUUGUUUGUUUGUUAUUGGUACUAAGAAUUGAACCAGGAAUGCUUAACCACCGAGCCACAUCCACAGCCCUUUUUAAAUUUGAUUUGGUGACAGGAUCUCACUGAGGUGCGUAGGGUCUCACUGAGUUGCUGAGGCUGGCUUUGAACUCCCUCCUCCUGCCUCAGCCUCCCAAGCUGCUGGCAUUACAGGCGUGCACCACAACUGGUGGAUGAUUCUUUCAUGGAUAAGCUUUGCUCACAGUACCUCAGCUGCCUUCUCUUUGCCUUGCUUUAUCAGUGAUUGAGGAUUUUUUUCACAUCUGUAUUAACUAGAAAUCAUUCCUGUUUUAUGAAUUUCCAAUGCUCUGUGGAUCUCUCCUCAUCAGUUCAUAAGCAACCAUCAUAUUGUAUAAACUGUAAUUUUUUCAGGUACGCAGUUUCCCCCUUGGUUAUUUUUCUGUCUUUAAUGUUUUCUAAGCAUAUGAGUGUACAAUGUUCAUAGAGUUAAGUCAAUCAGUAUCUUGUGAUCUGUGAUGGGAAUUGGAGAUGUGAUCACAAACUGUUGGGGGCUGUGCCAUGCGGACUAUGCCAAGAUGGCACCUGGCAGCCAGCCAAAGGUUGUUUUGAUCACAUCGGUGGUGAGGAGGUUGAUUAACAUAAGCACAGCCAGGUGAUUUAUCAUUG